rnacentral:tRNA from 1 species
UCUAAUAUGGCAGAAUAGUGCAAUAAAUUUAGGAUUUAUUUAUAUAUUUAUUAAUAUUAAUUAGA